rnacentral:lncRNA from 1 species
GCACACUGAUGUCGGUGUUUUCCUGUGAAGUGAAACUGAAGAGACGGAUGGAAGGAGAGGUGAUACAGAGGAUGGAAAGGUAAGGCAGGACCCAUUCUGCAUGUACAGACCAUCACAUACCAAUAAACACACAGUGACACACACACAAACACACACUGGUGAAUUGUGCAAUGGGGGAGGUGUCACUAAUACUAUAUAAAGCAUUAUUGGGAGUCUAAUCUCAUCAUAUUUUCUCUCAUCACCUGUACAGCAGCUCUCCUUCCAGUCACCCAGCAGGUAAGAUCACCAACUUUAACUCACCAUUAGAUGUUCAUACUGUAGACCUUUAAAUAUUACAAGUGAAAAAGUUGCAGAUUCAGUUGCACUUUAUCCUUUUUCACUUUGAUUUAGAACAGCGAUGUCAGCAGCAGCUUGGUCCAGGAGCAGAGGAGUGGCUGGUGUCAGAGCCACCACAGGCCUGUUCUCCAUCUUCACUCUGCUGUGUCUGGUUUGCCUCUCAAGUUCACUGAUUCACAAAGACAAGUUGGAAGAAAUGAAGCAAAAUCUUUAGGAAUAUCAAAGAAUAAUGGACAGUCUGAAGGUGAGUCAGUCAGUCAGUUUCACUGUGGCUCACAAUAAAAAAGCUUUAAAGUCAUUUCAGUGAUAUAUACUCUAACCCAGGGGUGGGGAACCUUUUUCCUAUCGAGGGCCAUUUCAAUUUUCAUACCGUCCCUCAGGGGCCAAGACAUUUUUUUUUUUAAAGGUAAGCAGCUCACAACACAAUUGUUAUGGCCUUUUUUAGCUUCAUUGCAAUAACAUAAAUAUCAUGACUAUUAAUUAAUGUUUUAGCCAAUUUUAAUUUCAUCCAUCUCAGUGUAUCUUAGUGUUUUAAUCCAAUUAAUUGUCUAUACAUGUUGGUUUUUAUAUUUAUUGAUGUUUAGCAGUUUAAGCAGUAGAUAAGAUAUAAUGUAGCUAAAAUGAUUCUGAUGUGAAAUAAAAACAAAUCAGCCCUCUCAAAUCUCAUAUAUCAGCUUAAAAUUACUCGAAAAUGACAGAUCUGAGUUGUCUUAUAUAAGGUUGUCUACUGUCAAUCUGAG